UACGGAGGGAGCUAGCGUUUGUUCGGAAUUACUGGGCGUAAAGCGCACGUAGGCGGCUUUGUAAGUUAGAGGUGAAAGCCCGGGGCUCAACCCCGGAAUUGCCUUUAAGACUGCAUCGCUUGAACGUCGGAGAGGUGAGUGGAAUUCCGAGUGUAGAGGUGAAAUUCGUAGAUAUUCGGAAGAACACCAGUGGCGAAGGCGGCUCACUGGACGACUGUUGACGCUGAGGUACGAAAGCGUGGGGAGCAAACAGGG
rnacentral:rRNA from 1 species